rnacentral:rRNA from 1 species
ACUCCUACGGGAGGCAGCAGUGGGGAAUAUUGCACAAUGGGCGCAAGCCUGAUGCAGCCAUGCCGCGUGUAUGAAGAAGGCCUUCGGGUUGUAAAGUACUUUCAGCGGGGAGGAAGGCAAUACGGUUAAUAACCGUGUUGAUUGACGUUACCCGCAGAAGAAGCACCGGCUAACUCCGUGCCAGCAGCCGCGGUAAUACGGAGGGUGCAAGCGUUAAUCGGAAUUACUGGGCGUAAAGCGCACGCAGGCGGUCUGUCAAGUCGGAUGUGAAAUCCCCGGGCUCAACCUGGGAACUGCAUUCGAAACUGGCAGGCUUGAGUCUUGUAGAGGGGGGUAGAAUGCCAGGUGUAGCGGUGAAAUGCGUAGAGAUCUGGAGGAAUACCGGUGGCGAAGGCGGCCCCCUGGACAAAGACUGACGCUCAGGUGCGAAAGCGUGGGGAGCAAACAGGAUUAGAAACCCCGGUAGUCCCAU